rnacentral:rRNA from 1 species
AACGAACGCUGGCGGCGUGCCUAACACAUGCAAGUCGAACGGAUUGAAGGGGCUUGCUCCUUCAGUUAGUGGCGCACGGGUGAGUAACGCGUAGAUAAUCUGCCUGAUGAUCUGGGAUAACAGUUCGAAAGGACUGCUAAUACCGGAUAAGCCCACGUGGUCUUUGGACCGUGCGGGAAAAGGGGGGGACCUUCGGGCCUUCGGUCAUCAGAUGAGUCUGCGUACCAUUAGCUAGUUGGUAGGGUAAUGGCCUACCAAGGCUACGAUGGUUAGGUGGUUUGAGAGACUGAGCAGGCAAACUGGAACUGGGACACGGUCCAGACUCCUACGGGGGGCAGCAGUGGGGAAUUUUGCGCAAUGGGCGAAAGCCUGACGCAGCAACGCCGCGUGAGUGAUGAAGGGUUUCGGGUCGUAAAGCUCUGUCGAGGGGAAAGAAGUGUAUUGUGGUUAAUACCCGCGAUACUUGACGGUACCCCUAAAGGAAGCACCGGCUAACUCCGUGCCAGCCGCCGCGGUAAUAC